rnacentral:rRNA from 1 species
AUUGAACGCUGGCGGCAGGCCUAACACAUGCAAGUCUAACGAGUGGCGGACGGGUGAGUAAUGUCUGGGAAACUGCCUGAUGGAGGGGGAUAACUACUGGAAACGGUAGCUAAUACCGCAUACCUUCAGAUGUGCCCAGAUGGGCUUAGCUAGUUGGUGGGGUAACGGCUCACCAGGGCGACGAUCCCUAGCUUGUCUGAGAGGAUGACCAUCAACACUGGAACUGAGACACGGUCCAGACUCCUACGGGAGGCAGCAGUGGGGAAUAUUGCACAAUGGGAGCAAGCCGGAGGAAGCCAUGCCGCGUGUAUGAAGAAGGCAUUGGGGUUGUAAAGUACUUUCAGCGGGGAGGCGUUACCCGCAGAAGAAGCACCGGCUAACUCCGUGCCAGCAGCCGCGGUAAUUC